GUUUAAAUAGCUUAAACUUAAAGUAUAGUAUUGAAGAUACUAUGAUGAUUAUAAAUCUUUAAACA
rnacentral:tRNA from 1 species